GGAAACAGACGUGUCUUUCCCUCCAGCUCUAAAUACAUCGCGUGCUCAGCAGCACUGUCUCCUGGUCCUCUCCGCCGGAGUCCUUGGCCACUCUGAAGAGUGAAUUAGGUUUCCUUGUUCCUGCUGUCAUUACAGGGCAGUUUGGGGCAAGGCUGGAGUUCCCCACAGCAAAGUCCACCGACCUCUGAGACUGGAGAAUUGAACUGUUCACUGUCUAUUGCCACUUGCAGGAGGUCAGCAGUGCCAGGACAGUGCCUUGACCAGAUGUUGCAAAGAGGAUGCUAUAGCGGGCAGGAUGCCAGUGAGAAGUAGAGGAGAGGAGAUGCCACCCCCAUCUCUGCGGUGAGGAGGAGCCCAGGACUACAAAUCCCAGCAUGCCGUUAACUGGACUUCCUGAAUGGGGGCAGGUCACAUGCAAACACCUGUGCUCAAGGCAGCACCUGCACUGAAUGAACUUCAACUUGUUCCCAACGAUUGCCUUCAAGUAUGGCGUGGUGGUGAGGAGCGCGGAUGAUCGCUCACAGGCAGCCUCUGCCCUCAGCGGCUGUGUGUCUUGGCUAAGUUCCUUAACCUCUCUGGGUCUCGGCUUUCUCGUUCAUCCAUCGGGAACGAUAAUACUCCAUGCCUGGCUCCUGUGAGGGUUAAAUGAGAUGAUCGAGAUACAGUUCUUAGACCUGACCCAACAGUAAGUACUGGGCAUUACCUGUUGCAGAAAGCCCUGUCUUAACUACACCCUGUCUGCUUUCGAUGUGCCUGCCUGAUGGCUCACGUUCCUGCCUGCCUUCCUCCUGCUUUUAUUUGAGUCUUUUCUGUCCAUCUGGGACACCCAGGAAACGGGCUGGGUCCUGGUGUCAGAUGGCCCCUGUUCUCACCUAGGAAGCACAGUUGAUUUUUUUUUAUUUAUGCAUACAAGAGCUGGGGUACAGGCCAGAGGCGCAGGAGGGUGAGAGAAUCCACCAGAGACAGAGCGGAGAACAGAACAGGCAGACUGACUGAAAUACACUGCAGAGGGGAGCAGCGGGUGAGACAGGAGAGGUCUGCCCAGCCAUGUGGGAAUCUCCCUGGCCAGCUGGGAUUGAACCUGCCCUGCAGAGGCUGAAGACAGAUUCACAGUGCUGCGCUCAACCCACUGCACCACCAGGGGAGGCCCUAGGGGGCACAGCUGAUUUACUGGGGAGUGCGUCCCCCUCUGUGAGACAUUUAGGCCUCAUAGAAGUGUUCAAAGUCAAAUAGGCUCUCCGGUGCUUAACAAUCGGCAGAUGCCGUUAAGUCAAGUCUUGUUAGGUCUUUCUGCUUAAACAUCCCCUCUGAGCUCCUCUCCUAACUGCUGAUUCUACCAUUUGUCUGACCAUUCAAUGACCUGGUCAUGCUUCGUGUCUCCUCUUAUUAUUAUUUUCUUGCUUGGAACUACUGUUGAAGUAUUAUCACCCCCUCGCGUUUCAAGCACAGGUGGGGUCCUCCUCCCUGCGCGGGGAGUCUGCACACCACUCCUGACCUGGCCACAGUGACUGGGCUGCCCCUCUGGUCCCGGCUUCAUUUCCCAGCCCUCACUGUCUUUUCACAGCCGCCCCCUGGCCUGGCAGCCCCGGCUCUGAGGCCGCAGCUCUCUCUUAAGUGAUUUUUGUUUUCUUCUGUGUCUUCACCCUGUAGGGUAGCCUCUCCCUCUCUGGCUUGGGACUUUGUCUUUGUCUACCCGCCCCACUGACCUGUUGUGAGGUUGUCCAGGGCCUGCAUUGAGAGCUGGGUGAGGGCAGAUAAGGGUCUUCUCAGAAGCUGCUGCCUGGCUGGGUGUCUUCUUCACCUCUUUCUUCUCUGUGAAAGCAAUUGUUUUCCAAGAAACAUUUCAACGGUCCUCUGUGUGGGACAUUUCCUCACCUGAGAUAAGACCUGGGCGUCUGUUCUAAGGAGAAGGGGUUAGAAGGGAGUGGAAAAGCUCCUGGCUGAUAGACCACUUCUGGCCCCAAGGGGGUGAAGAUGGGGCUGCGUUGGUGUGCAUGGAGACAUGGCUCAUCUGGAAGAGGGGCUGCUGGUACUGCCUGG